rnacentral:lncRNA from 1 species
GGUUACCAAAAAAAAUACAGUGAACACACACGCGUACACAGUAAGAGACCAAAAAAAAAUGAGAAAAUUGAAGAAAGAAGAUGAAAAACAAUAAAUUUUUAUAUUAAGGAUCCAUUUAGUCAUGGAUAUUUUUUUAUUUCUUUUCAAAGAAAAAAAUUAGAGUUGAAAAUUAUGGUGUUUGGCCAUGAAACUUUGAAAAAUAAUUCUGAAA